rnacentral:rRNA from 1 species
AUUGAACGCUGGCGGCAUGCCUUACACAUGCAAGUCGAACGGCAGCGGGGGAGAAGCUUGCUUUUCCUGCCGGCGAGUGGCGAACGGGUGAGUAAUACAUCGGAACGUGCCCUGUAGUGGGGGAUAACUAGUCGAAAGAUUAGCUAAUACCGCAUACGACCUGAGGGUGAAAGUGGGGGACCGCAAGGCCUCAUGCUAUAGGAGCGGCCGAUGUCUGAUUAGCUAGUUGGUGGGGUAAAGGCCUAACAAGGCAACGAUCAGUAGCUGGUCUGAGAGGACGAUCAGCCACACUGGGACUGAGACACGGCCCAGACUCCUACGGGAGGCAGCAGUGGGGAAUUUUGGACAAUGGGCGAAAGCCUGAUCCAGCAAUGCCGCGUGUGUGAAGAAGGCCUUCGGGUUGUAAAGCACUUUUGUCCGGAAAGAAAUGGCUCUGGUUAAUACCUGGGGUCGAUGACGGUACCGGAAGAAUAAGGACCGGCUAACUACGUGCCAGCCGCCGCCGUAA